GCGAUCAUAGCUCAGGGGUAGAGCGCUUCCUUGACAUGGAAGAGGCCGGAGGUUCGAGACCUCCUGAUCGCACCA
rnacentral:tRNA from 1 species